rnacentral:rRNA from 1 species
AUUGAACGCUGGCGGCAUGCCUUACACAUGCAAGUCGAACGGCAGCACGGGAGCAAUCCUGGUGGCGAGUGGCGAACGGGUGAGUAAUAUAUCGGAACGUGCCCAGUCGUGGGGAUAACGUAGCGAAAGCUACGCUAAUACCGCAUACGAUCUAUGGAUGAAAGCGGGGGAUCGCAAGACCUCGCGCGAUUGGAGCGGCCGAUAUCAGAUUAGCUAGUUGGUGAGGUAAAGGCUCACCAAGGCGACGAUCCGUAACUGGUCUGAGAGGACGACCAGCCACACUGGGACUGAGACACGGCCCAGACUCCUACGGGAGGCAGCAGUGGGAAUUUGGACAAUGGGCGCAAGCCUGAUCCAGCAAUGCCGCGUGCAGGAUGAAGGCCUUCGGUGUAACUGCUUUGUA